ACGGAAGGCAGCAUUCUUGCCUCUUGCUCCAUGGCUUAAACUCUGACGCAGUGACGCCGCGUAUAGGAAGAAGGUUUUCGGAUUGUAAACUAUUUUAGACAGGGAAGACAAUGACAGUACCUGUAGAAUAAGCUCCGGCUAACUACGUGCCAGCAGCCGCGGUAAUACGUAGGGAGCAAGCGUUAUCCGGAUUUAUUGGGUGUAAAGGGUGCGUAGACGGGAAAUCAAGUUAGUUGUGAAAGCCCUCGGCUUAACUGAGGAACUGCAACUAAAACUAAUUUUCUUGAGUGCAGGAGAGGAAAGCGGAAUUCCUAGUGUAGCGGUGAAAUGCGUAGAUAUUAGGAGGAACACCAGUGGCGAAGGCGGCUUUCUGGACUGUAACUGACGUUGAGGCACGAAAGUGUGGGGAGCAAACAGGAUUAGAUACCCUGGUA
rnacentral:rRNA from 1 species